rnacentral:rRNA from 1 species
UACGUAGGGUGCGAGCGUUGUCCGGAAUUACUGGGCGUAAAGAGCUUGUAGGCGGUUUGUCGCGUCGUUUGUGAAAACUUGGGGCUCAACCCCAAGCUUGCAGGCGAUACGGGCAGACUAGAGUACUUCAGGGGAGACUGGAAUUCCGGGUGGAGUGGUGAAAUGCGUAGAGAUCCGGAGGAACACCAGAGGCGAAGGCGGCCUACUGGGCUGCACCUGACGCUGAGCCGCGAAAGCCAGGGGAGCGAACGGG